GAUAAGAGAGACUUUGGGCAGUUCUGCUCAGUUGUGGGGCUCAGGAAGCAGAGCUCUGGGGGUGUCUCCACCAUGGCCUGGACCCCUCUCCUCCUCACCCUCCUCACUCUCUGCCCAGGGUCCUGGGCACAGUCAGGGCUGACCCAGGAAGCCUCGGUGUCAGGGUCCCUGGGACAGACAGUCACUCUGACAUGCAAGGGGAGCAGCUCUUACCUUGGAUCUUAUGGCGCUGGCUGGUACCAGCAGCUCCCUGGGGGCACCCCCAAGACUGUGAUGCUCAGAACUUCUCGGCCCUUGGGGAUCCCAGCUCGGUUCUCUGGCUCCAAGGCGAGUGGCACAGCUUCCCUGACCAUCACGGGGCUCCAGCCUGAGGACGAGGCUGUCUAUUACUGCUCAACAUGGGACAGUAGCAUCAGUGGUCCACAGUGCUCCAGACACAUGGGGAACUGAGACAGAAACCUGCCCCUGCCCCCUGAGGCUGGUCU